GCCGAUGUAGCUCAGCUGGCUAGAGCAGCUGAUUUGUAAUCAGCAGGUCGUGGGUUCGAGUCCAUCCAUCGGCUC
rnacentral:tRNA from 1 species